rnacentral:rRNA from 1 species
UGACGGAGCACGCCGCGUGAGGGAUGAAGGCCUCUGGGCUGUAAACCUCUUUUAUCAAGGAAGAAGACCUGACGGUACUUGAUGAAUAAGCCACGGCUAAUUCCGUGCCAGCAGCCGCGGUAAUACGGGAGUGGCAAGCGUUAUCCGGAAUUAUUGGGCGUAAAGCGUCCGCAGGCGGCCCAACAAGUCUGCUGUUAAAAAGUGGAGCUUAACUCCAUCAUGGCAGUGGAAACUGUUGGGCUCGAGUGUGGUAGGGGCAGAGGGAAUUCCCGGUGUAGCGGUGAAAUGCGUAGAUAUCGGGAAGAACACCAGUGGCGAAGGCGCUCUGCUGGGCCAUCACUGACGCUCAUGGACGAAAGCCAGGGGAGCGAAAGGGAUUAGAUACCCCUGUAGUCCUGGCCGUAAACGAUGAACACUAGGUGUCGGGGGAAUCGACCCCUCCGGUGUCGUAGCCAACGCGUUAAGUGUUCCGCCUGGGGAGUACGCACGCAAGUGUGAAACUCAAAGAAUUUUGACGG